rnacentral:rRNA from 1 species
AGUGAACGCUGGCGGUAUGCCUAACACAUGCCAGUCGAACGGCAGCACAGUAAGAGCUUGCUCUUACGGGUGGCGAGUGGCGUACGUGUGAGGAAUACAUCGGAAUCUACUUUUUCGUGGGGGAUAACGUAGGGAAACUUACGCUAAUACCGCAUACGACCUACGGGUGAAAGCAGUGGAUCUUCGGACCUUGCGCGAUUGAAUGAGCCGAUGUCGGAUUAGCUAGUUGGCGGGGGAAAGGCCCACCAAGGCGACGAUCCGUAGCUGGUCUGAGAGGAUGAUCAGCCACACUGGAACUGAGACACGGUCCAGACUCCUAAGGGAGGCAGCAGUGGGGAAUAUUGGACAAUGGGCGCAAGCCUGAUCCAGCCAUACCGCGUGGGUGAAGAAGGCCUUCGGGUUGUAAAGACCUUUUGUUGGGAAAGAAAAGCAGCAGGUUAAUACCCCGCUGUUCUGACGGUACCCAAAGAAUAAGCACCGGCUAACUUCGUG